UGCCCAGCAACUCCUAUCCCUACCUCCUCGCGGUACCGGCCAGAAACUGUGAGCAACCUUGGGAAGAUUGGGUAACCAACCCCGGUGAAAACUUUGGUCGUAGGCUGACAGGGAAGA
rnacentral:ribozyme from 1 species